GGGGAUAUAGUCCAAUGGUAGAACAGUAGGCUGUUAACCUACAUAUGGAAGUUCAAUUCUUCCUAUCCCCUCCA
rnacentral:tRNA from 3 species